AUCUUAUGAUGAAAAACCAUAAAUUCAGUUCUGCUUCUGAACAUACUUGAUGAUAAACCUUACCAUACCAAAAAACUUCUGAUCA
rfam:Valsa mali strain 03-8 chromosome 4, whole genome shotgun sequence.